AUUGAACUGGGCAAGAAAGAACUGGUGGUUGCUACGUUUGUUGUGACGCUGUUCAAGAAAUAUGAAGUUUUGAGAUUGGCCUUGAUAGCUGGUUAUCAUUGUACAAGACAUCUUAGCAUUAUGGCAGAACAAUUAUUAUGCGUCUAUCAAUGAUAACAAUGAUACCUGA